rnacentral:rRNA from 1 species
GAAAAAGAACCUGAAACCGUGUACGUACAAGCAGUGGGAGCACCCUUCGGGGUGUGACUGCGUACCUUUUGUAUAAUGGGUCAGCGACUUAUAUUCUGUAGCAAGGUUAACCGAAUAGGGGAGCCGGAGGGAAACCGAGUCUUAAUUGGGCGUUAAGUUGCAGGGUAUAGACCCGAAACCCGGUGAUCUAGCCAUGGGCAGGUUGAAGGUUGGGUAACACUAACUGGAGGACCGAACCGACUAAUGUUGAAAAAUUAGCGGAUGACCUGUGGCUGGGGGUGAAAGGCCAAUCAAACCGGGAGAUAGCUGGUUCUCCCCGAAAGCUAUUUAGGUAGCGCCUCGUGAAUUCAUCUCCGGGGGUAGAGCACUGUUUCGGCUAGGGGGCCAUCCCGGCUUACCAACCCGAUGCAAACUGCGAAUACCGGAGAAUGUUAUCACGGGAGACACACGGCGGGUGCUAACGUCCGUCGUGAAGAGGGAAACAACCCAGACCGCCAGCUAAGGUCCCAAAGUCAUGGUUAAGUGGGAAACGAUGUGGGAAGGCCCAGACAGCCAGGAUGUUGGCUUAGAAGCAGCCAUCAUUUAAAGAAAGCGUAAUAGCUCACUGGUCGAGUCGGCCUGCGCGGAAGAUGUAACGGGGCUAAACCAUGCACCGAAGCUGCGGCAGCGACACUGUGUGUUGUUGGGUAGGGGAGCGUUCUGUAAGCCUGUGAAGGUGUGUCGUGAGGCAUGCUGGAGGUAUCAGAAGUGCGAAUGCUGACAUAAGUAACGAUAAAGCGGGUGAAAAGCCCGCUCGCCGGAAGACCAAGGGUUCCUGUCCAACGUUAAUCGGGGCAGGGUGAGUCGACCCCUAAGGCGAGGCCGAAAGGCGUAGUCGAUGGGAAACGGGUUAAUAUUCCCGUACUUGGUGUUACUGCGAAGGGGGGACGGAGAAGGCUAUGUUGGCCGGGCGACGGUUGUCCCGGUUUAAGCGUGUAGGUGUGUGUUCCAGGUAAAUCCGGUUCACUUUAACACUGAGGCGUGACGACGAGGCACUACGGUGCUGAAGCAACAAAUGCCCUGCUUCCAGGAAAAGCCUCUAAGCAUCAGGUAACAUCAAAUCGUACCCCAAACCGACACAGGUGGUCAGGUAGAGAAUACCAAGGCGCUUGAGAGAACUCGGGUGAAGGAACUAGGCAAAAUGGUGCCGUAACUUCGGGAGAAGGCACGCUGACACGUAGGUGAAGUGAUUUACUCAUGGAGCUGAAGUCAGUCGAAGAUACCAGCUGGCUGCAACUGUUUAUUAAAAACACAGCACUGUGCAAACACGAAAGUGGACGUAUACGGUGUGACGCCUGCCCGGUGCCGGAAGGUUAAUUGAUGGGGUCAGCGCAAGCGAAGCUCCUGAUCGAAGCCCCGGUAAACGGCGGCCGUAACUAUAACGGUCCUAAGGUAGCGAAAUUCCUUGUCGGGUAAGUUCCGACCUGCACGAAUGGCGUAAUGAUGGCCAGGCUGUCUCCACCCGAGACUCAGUGAAAUUGAACUCGCUGUGAAGAUGCAGUGUACCCGCGGCAAGACGGAAAGACCCCGUGAACCUUUACUAUAGCUUGACACUGAACAUUGAGCCUUGAUGUGUAGGAUAGGUGGGAGGCUUUGAAGCGUGGACGCCAGUCUGCGUGGAGCCG